UGUCAAAGUUCUGCCAAUAAAUGUCCUCCAAAGUGUUUCAUGACACUGGAAUAACAGUUAAAAGUCGCCUUGGGUUUCACGCCGCUGCUGCCGCCGACCAUCCCCAGUGCGCUCAGCUGAAAGGAGUGGUCUUGCUCAGUCCCUGCAGGUCAUCCAGCUAGAGCAUGAGACCCCCCCCAGUCAACCUCCCUGCCCCCUUCAACAUCCCCCAGAAAGAGAAAGUGAAAGUUAGCAUUGGACAAAAAAAAAGGACAAACUCGGACUGCAACGGACAAUUAAAACUGCUGAAAAAAAAUGUCAGUACCCCCCUUCCCAGCCUUGAGGACAUGCACGCUGCCAGAACUAAGACAAGAACAUGCAAAAUCCUCUUGGACCCUUCACAUCCUGGUUACCACCUCUUCCAGCUCCUUCCCUAAGGGGUGCUGGAGCCUCUGCCAGCAAUCUUCGGGCGAGAGGCGCGGUACACCCUGAACUGGUCGUCAAUCGCAGGGCACGGGGAGAACAUAGAGAAAUUUGAAACCAUACAUUGAAGCCCAAACCCAGUUUUUACAUCCUACUUUGAAACCCUAACCCUCUCUUGAAAUCCUAAUUUGAAACCCGAAUCCUGUUUGAAACCCUAAUUUGAAAACCAAGUCGUGGUUUUAAAACCUAAUUUGAAACCCUAAUCCUGUUUUGAAACUCUAAUUUGAAAAUAAAAUCCUGCUUCAAACCCUAAUCGCGUUUUGAAACCCUUCUUAGAAACCCUAACUCCGUUUUGAAACCAGACUUUGAAACCCUAACCCUGUUUUGAAAUCCUAGUUUGAAUACCUAACCCUGUUUUGAAAAAGUAAAUUGAAAACCUAAUUUGAAACCCUAAUUGAGUUUCGAAACCCUAAUUAAAAACCCUAACCCCGUUUAGAAACCCUACUUUGAAACUUUAACCCCUGUUUUGAAACUCUAAUUUGAAACCCUAAUCGAGUUUUGAAACCCCACUUUGAAGCCCUAACCCCAUUUUUAAAACCUACUUUGAAACCCGAACCCUCUUUUGAAAUACUAAUUUGAAACCCUAAUUUUAAACCUAAAACCCAUUUUGAAACCAUAAUUUGAAACACCAGCCUUGUUUUGAAACCCUGAACCUGUUUUGAAACUCUAAUUUGAAACCCUAACUCUGUUUUGAAACCCUAAUUUGAAACCUGAACCUUGUUUUGAAACCCUGAUUUGAACUCUAAUUGAUUUUUUAAACCCUACUUUGAAACCAUAACCCUGUUUUGAAACCUAAUUUGAUACCCUAACUCUGUGUUGAAACCCUGAUUUGAAACCUAAACCCAGUUUUGAAACCAUAAUUUGAAACACCAACCUUGUUUUGACACCUAAUUUGAAACCCUAACUCUGUUUUGAAACCCUAAUUUGAAACCUGAACCUUGUUUUGAAACCCUAAUUUGAAACCCUAAUUGAGUUUUGAAACCCUACUUUGAAACCCUAACCCCAUUUCGAAACACUACUUUGAAACCCUAAUUCUUUUUUGAAACCCUAAUUGACUUUUGAAACCCGAAUUUGAAACCCUUACCUUGUUUUAAAACCCUAAUUUCAAACCCUAAUAAUGUUAUUAGAACUUUAUUUGAAACCACAAUUGUGUUUUGACACCCUAAUUUGCAACACUAAUCAUGUUUUUAAACCCUAAUUUUAAACACUAACUCUGUUUUUAAACCCUCAUUUGAAACCCUACCCAUGUUUUGAAACCCUUACCCUGUUUGGAAACCCUAAUUUGAUGCCCUAAUCGAGUUUAGAAAUCCUAAUUUGAAACCCUAAUUAAAAACCCUAACCCCGUUUUGAAACCCUGAUUUGGACCCUAAUUGAGUUUUUAAACCCUAUUUUGAAACCCUAACCCUGUUUUGAAACCUAAUUUGAAAUCCUAACUCUGUGUUGAAACCCUGAUUUGAAACCUAAACCCUAUUUUGAAACCAUAAUUUGAAACACCAACCUUGUUUUGAAACCUAAUUUGAAACCCUAACUCUGUUUUGAAACCCUAAUUUGAUACCCUAACCCAGUUUUUAAACCCUAAUUUGAAACAUGAACCUACUUUUGAAACCCUAAUUUGAAACCCUAAUUGAUUUUUGAAACCAUACUUUGAAACCCUAACCCCAUUUCAAAACCCUACUUUGAAACCCUAACCCCAUUUCAAAACCCUAAUUGACUUUUGAAAUCCGAAUUUGAAACCCUAACCCCGUUUUGAAACCCUACAUUGAAACCCUAAUCCGGUUUGAAACCCUAAUUUGAAACCCCAAUUGCACUUUGAAACCAUAACCUUGUUUUUAAACACUAAUUUGAAACCCUAACUCUGUGUUGAAACCUUGAUUUGAAACCUAAACCCUAUUUUGAAACCCUAACUCUUUUUUUAAACCCUAAUUGACUUUUGAAACCCUAUUUGAAACCCUAACCUUGUUGUAAAACCCUAAUUUGAAACCCUAACCCUGUUUUGACACCCUACUUUGAAACCCUAACCCUGUUUUGAAAUCCUAAUUUGAAACCUAAAACCAACGUUGAAACCAAAAUCUGAAACACCAACCUUGUUUUGAAACCUAAUUUGAAACCCUGAACCUGUUUUGAAACUCUAAAUUGAAACCCGAACUCUGUUUUGAAACCCUAAUUUAAAACCUGAACCUUGUUUUGAAACCCUGAUUUGAACCCUAAUUGAGUUUUUAAACCCUACUUUGAAACCCUAACCCUGUUUUGAAACCUAAUUUGAAAUCCUAACUCUGUGUUGAAACCCUGAUUUGAAACCUAAACCCGAUUUUGAAACCAUAAUUUGAAACACCAACCUUGUUUUGAAACCUAAUUUGAAACCCUAACUCUGUUUUGAAACCCUAAUUUGAUACCCUAACCCAGUUUUUAAACCCUAAUUUGAAACAUGAACCUAGUUUUGAAACCCUAAUUUGAAACCCUAAUUGAUUUUUGAAACCCUACUUUGAAACCCUAACCCCAUUUCAAAACCCUAAUUGACUUUUGAAAUCCGAAUUUGAAACCCUAACCCCGUUUUGAAACCCUACAUUGAAACCCUAAUCCGGUUUGAAACCCUAAUUUAAAACCCCAAUUGCACUUUAAAACCCUAAUUUGAAACCAUAACCUUGUUUUUAAACCCUAAUUUGAAACCCUAAUUGAGUUUUUAAACCCUACUUUGAAACCCUAACCCUGUUUUGAAACCUAAUUUGAAAUCCUAACUCUGUGUUGAAACCCUGAUUUGAAACCUAAACCCGAUUUUGAAACCAUAAUUUGAAACACCAACCUUGUUUUGAAACCUAAUUUGAAACCCUAACUCUAUUUUGAAACCCUAAUUAGAUACCCUAACCCAGUUUUUAAACCCUAAUUUGAAACAUGAACCUAGUUUUGAAACCCUAAUUUGAAACCCUAAUUGAUUUUUGAAACCCUACUUUGAAACCCUAACCCCAUUUCAAAACCCUACUUUGAAACCCUAACCCCAUUUCAAAACCCUAAUUGACUUUUGAAAUCCGAAUUUGAAACCCUAACCCCGUUUUGAAACCCUACAUUGAAACCCUAAUCCGGUUUGAAACCCUAAUUUGAAACCCCAAUUGCACUUUGAAACCCUUAUUUGAAACCAUAACCUUGUUUUUAAACCCUAAUUUGAAACCCUAAUUGAGUUUUGAAACCAUACUUUGAAACCCUAACCCUGUUUUGAAACCUAAUUUGAAACCCUAACUCUGUGUUGUUACCUUGAUUUGAAACCUAAACCCUAUUUUGAAACCCUAACUCUUUUUUUAAACCCUAAUUGACUUUUGAAACCCUAUUUGAAACCCUAACCUUGUUGUAAAACCCUAAUUUGAAACCCUAACCCUGUUUUGACACCCUACUUUGAAACCCUAACCCUGUUUUGAAAUCCUAGUUUGAAAACCUAACCCUGUUUUGAAAAAGUAAAUUGAAACCCUAAUCCUGUUUGAAACCCUAAUUUGAAACCCUAAUCGAGUUUUGAAACCCUAAUUAAAAACCCUAACCCCGUUUUGAAACCCUACAUUGAAAACCUAACCCUGUUUUGAAAACCUAAUUUAAAACCCCAAUUGCACUUUGAAACCCUAAUUUGAAACCAUAACCUUGUUUUUAAACCCUAAUUUGAAACCCUAAUUGAGUUUUUAAACCCUACUUUGAAACCCUAACCCUGUUUUGAAACCUAAUUUGAAAUCCUAACUCUGUGUUGAAACCCUGAUUUGAAACCUAAACCCGAUUUUGAAACAAUAAUUUGAAACACCAACCUUGUUUUGAAACCUAAUUUGAAACCCUAACUCUGUUUUGAAACCCUAAUUUGAUACCCUAACCCAGUAUUUAAACCCUAAUUUGAAACAUGAACCUAGUUUUGAAACCCUAAUUUGAAACCCUAAUUGAUUUUUGAAACCCUACUUUGAAACCCUAACCCCAUUUCAAAACCCUACUUUGAAACCCUAACCCCAUUUCAAAACCCUAAUUGACUUUUGAAAUCCGAAUUUGAAACCCUAACCCCGUUUUGAAACCCUACAUUAAAACCCUAAUCCGGUUUGAAACCCUAAUUUGAAACCCCAAUUGCACUUUGAAACCCUAAUUUGAAACCAUAACCUUGUUUUUAAACCCUAAUUUGAAACCCUAAUUGAGUUUUGAAACCAUACUUUGAAACCCUAACCCUGUUUUGAAAUCUAAUUUGAAACCCUAACUCUGUGUUGAAACCUUGAUUUGAAACCUAAACCCUAUUUUGAAACCCUAACUCUUUUUGUAAACCCUAAUUGACUUUUGAAACCCUAUUUGAAACCCUAACCUUGUUGUAAAACCCUAAUUUGAAACCCUAACCCUGUUUUGACACCCUACUUUGAAACCCUAACCCUGUUUUGAAAUCCUAGUUUGAAAACCUAACCCUGUUUUGAAAAAGUAAAUUGAAACCCUAAUCCUGUUUGAAACCCUAAUUUGAAACCCUAAUCGAGUUUUGAAACCCUAAUUAAAAACCCUAACCCCGUUUUGAAACCCUACAUUGAAAACCUAACCCUGUUUUGAAAACCUAAUUUGAAACCCUAAUCAUGUUUUUAAACCCUAUUUUCAAACCCUAAUCCUGUUUUGAAACCUAAUUUGAAACCCUGUUUUGAAACCUUAAUUUGAAACCAUAACCCUGUUUUGAAACCCUAAUUUGAAACCUGAACCUUGUUUUGAAACCCUAAUUUGAAACCCUAAUCAUGUUUUAAACCCUAAUUUGAAACGCUAACCGUUUUGAAAGCUUAAUUUGAAACCCUAAUCCUGUUUGAAACUCGAAUUUGCAACCCUUAUCGAGUUUUGAAACCCUACUUACAAACCCUAACCCUGUUUUGAAACACUAAUUUGAAAUACUGAAACUCUCAUGAAAGCCUAAUUUGAAACCCUAAUCAUGUUUUGAAAACCUAAUUUGAAACCCUAACCCUGUUUUGAAACCCUAAAACUAUAUUUAAACCCUCCUUUGAAACCCUAACCCUGUUUUGAAGCCCUAAUUUCAAACCCUAAAACUCUCUUGAAACUAAUUUGAAACACUAACCCAGUCUUGAAACCCUAAAACUCUCUUGAAGCCCUAAUCUGAAAUUCUAACUUUGUCUUGAUACCUUAACCCCUUGUUUUGAAACUUACUUUGAAACCCUUAUCCUGUUACAUUCGAUAUUUUUAUAAGUGGCGGAUGAUGCAAGCUCUCAGGCUGACAACGCUUUCCUCUCCGUCAAUCCUCAUUGACUGGACGGCAUCAUAAAAUCGUCUCAAGGUGUCAUUAAAAGCGUCAGUCGUGAA